UACGUAGGGGGCAAGUGUUAUCCGGAUUUACUGGGUGUAAAGGGAGCGUAGACGGAUUAGCAAGUCUGAUGUGAAAGGCAGGGGCUCAACCCCUGGACUGCAUUGGAAACUGCCAGUCUUGAGUGCCGGAGAGGUAAGCGGAAUUCCUAGUGUAGCGGUGAAAUGCGUAGAUAUUAGGAGGAACACCAGUGGCGAAGGCGGCUUACUGGACGGCAACUGACGUUGAGGCUCGAAAGCGUGGGGAGCAAACAGG
rnacentral:rRNA from 1 species